CGAAGCCGCGAGGUGGAGCGAAUCCCAAAAAGCCGGUCUAAGUUCGGAUUGCAGGCUGCAACCCGCCUGCAUGAAGUCGGAAUCGCUAGUAAUCGCGAGUCAGCAUAUCGCGGUGAAUACGUUCCCGGGUCUUGUACACACCGCCCGUCACACCAUGGGAGUUGGCAACACCCGAAGUCGAUGAGCUAACCUUUUAGGAGGCAGUCGCCUAAGGUGGGGUUGAUAACUGGGGUGAAGUCGUAACAAGGUAUC
rnacentral:rRNA from 1 species